AGUGAACGCUGGCGGUAGGCCUAACACAUGCAAGUCGAACGGCAGCACAGGAGAGCUUGCUCUCUGGGUGGCGAGUGGCGGACGGGUGAGGAAUACAUCGGAAUCUACUCUGUCGUGGGGGAUAACGUAGGGAAACUUACGCUAAUACCGCAUACGACCUACGGGUGAAAGCAGGGGACCUUCGGGCCUUGCGCGAUUGAAUGAGCCGAUGUCGGAUUAGCUAGUUGGCGGGGUAAAGGCCCACCAAGGCGACGCUCCGUAGCUGGUCUGAGAGGAUGAUCAGCCAAACUGGAACGAGGACACGGUCCAGACUCCUACGGGAGGCAGCAGUGGGGAAUAUUGGACAAUGGGCGCAAGCCUGAUCCAGCCAUACCGCGUGGGUGAAGAAGGCCUUCGGGUUGUAAAGCCCUUUUGUUGGGAAAGAAAUCCAGCUGGCUAAUACCCGGUUGGGAUGACGGUACCCAAAGAAUAAGCACCGGCUAACUUCGUGCCAGCCGCCGCAGUAA
rnacentral:rRNA from 1 species